rnacentral:rRNA from 1 species
UACGUAUGGAGCAAGCGUUAUCCGGAUUUACUGGGUGUAAAGGGAGCGUAGACGGUGCGGCAAGUCUGAUGUGAAAGGCGGGGGCUCAACCCCCGAACUGCAUUGGAAACUGCCGUGCUGGAGUGUCGGAGGGGUAAGCGGAAUUCCUAGUGUAGCGGUGAAAUGCGUAGAUAUUAGGAGGAACACCGGCGGCGAAGGCGGCUUACUGGACGAUCACUGACGUUGAGGCUCGAAAGCGUGGGGAGCAAAC